rnacentral:rRNA from 1 species
GGAGCGCGACGCUCUCCCCAAGGACGAAGCCAUGCAUGCCCGCUCACCCGGGACGCGGCGGACGGCUCAGGACGACGGUUGCACCCCCCGCGGCGGUCCCUGCUAGCCGGACACCGCUGGCAACCCGGCGCCAAGACGUGCGCGCAAGGGCGGGCGCCCGCGGGCGAGCAGCGUGACGCAGCGACGGCCCGCCCGGGCUUCCGGGGCAUCACCCGGUCGGCGCGGGCGCGGCGCGCCGAGGGCCCGACG